CCUACGGGGUGCAGCAGUGAGGAAUAUUGGUCAAUGGACGAGAGUCUGAACCAGCCAAGUAGCGUGAAGGAUGACUGCCCUAUGGGUUGUAAACUUCUUUUAUAUGGGAAUAAAACGUUCCACGUGUGGGAUUUUGUAUGUACCAUAUGAAUAAGGAUCGGCUAACUCCGUGCCAGCAGCCGCGGUAAUACGGAGGAUCCGAGCGUUAUCCGGAUUUAUUGGGUUUAAAGGGAGCGUAGGUGGAUUGUUAAGUCAGUUGUGAAAGUUUGAGGCUCAACCGUAAAAUUGCAGUUGAAACUGGCAGUCUUGAGUACAGUAGAGGUGUGCGGAAUUCGUGGUGUAGCGGUGAAAUGCUUAGAUAUCACGAAGAACUCCGAUUGCGAAGGCAGUUCACUGGACUGCAACUGACACUGAGGCUCGAAAGUGUGGGUAUCAAACAGGAUUAGAUACCCGAGUAGUC
rnacentral:rRNA from 1 species